rnacentral:rRNA from 1 species
GGUAACGGCCCACCAAGCCUACGAUCAGUAGGGGUUCUGAGAGGAAGGUCCCCCACAUUGGAACUGAGACACGGUCCAAACUCCUACGGGAGGCAGCAGUGAGGAAUAUUGGUCAAUGGACGGAAGUCUGAACCAGCCAAGUAGCGUGCAGGAUGACGGCCCUAUGGGUUGUAAACUGCUUUUGUAUGGGAAUAAAGUGAGGGACGUGUCCCUUUUUGUAUGUACCAUAAGAAUAAGGACCGGCUAAUUCCGUGCCAGCAGCCGCGGUAAUACGGAAGGUCCGGGCGUUAUCCGGAUUUAUUGGGUUUAAAGGGAGCGCAGGCUGGAGAUUAAGCGUGACGUGAAAUGCCGCGGCUCAACCGUGGAAGUGCGUCGCGAACUGGUUUCCUUGAGUGUAUUCGACGUCAGCGGAAUUCGUGGUGUAGCGGUGAAAUGCUUAGAUAUCACGAAGAACUCCGAUUGCGAAGGCAGCUGGCGAGGCUAUAACUGACGCUAAAGCUCGAAGGUGCGGGUAUCGAACAGGAUUAGAUACCCUGGUAGUCCGCACGGUAAACGAUGGAUGCCCGCUGUAUGCGAUAUACUGUAUGCGGCCAAGCGAAAGCGUUAAGCAUCCCACCUGGGGAGUACGCCGGCAACGGUGAAACUCAAAGGAAUUGACGGGGGCCCGCACAAGCGGAGGAACAUGUGGUUUAAUUCGAUGAUACGCGAGGAACCUUACCCGGGCUUGAACUGCAGGAGAACGAUUCAGAGAUGAUGAGGCCCUUCGGGGCUCCUGUGGAGGUGCUGCAUGGUUGUCGUCAGCUCGUGCCGUGAGGUGUCGGCUUAAGUGCCAUAACGAGCGCAACCCCUGCGACUAGUUGCCAUCAGGUAAUGCUGGGCACUCUGGUUGGACUGCCACCGUAAGGUGUGAGGAAGGUGGGGAUGACGUCAAAUCAGCACGGCCCUUACGUCCGGGGCUACACACGUGUUACAAUGGGAGGUACAGAGAGUUGGUCUUGCGCAAGCCGGAUCUAAUCCUAAAAGCCUUCCUCAGUUCGGAUUGGGGUCUGCAACCCGACCCCAUGAAGCUGGAUUCGCUAGUAAUCGCGCAUCAGCCAUGGCGCGGUGAAUACGUUCCCGGGCCUUGUACACACCGC